GAGUGCCCGGCGGCGCGCGCUAGAAAGAGCAGCGCACAGACACAGUUUCGGCCGGGCUGGAAGGCCGAGGCUUCAGGCGGGAGGAGUGUGGACGGCCACACGCCGUAAAGUCGACAUAAAUCGCCUUGCAGCAGUAGGCGCGGCUGCGCUUUACGACGGCUGAGCCGCCGUGGCAAGUGGAGCCGAAGCGCGGCCGGAGACGCUAACGGCCGAGUCUGGCUACCGCGCCCCCAAGCUUGAGGCGCGCGAACGCUACAUCGACGCACGCGCACUCGCGUUCGCGCGAGCUGGCGGAAAGCCUCGCGCGUAGGGUCUUAGGAAAGGAGAGGAGGUGUGUGGCGGUGGCACUAGGUACCACGACCUCAAAGACGGACUCCAGAGCAUCCUAAAGCAAGUCCCCAAGCCUGCGGCUUUGAGGACGAGGUUUCGGGCAAAAGCGAGCUGGGAAGGCGGAGGAGCCCCGCAGGUGGGCCCUUGGAGAGGCCCGGCAUGGAGGCUGGUCGCCGCUCAGUGAGAAUUCCAGACGCGGGCAUCCACAUUCCCGGAAAGUCUUAGGGAGCUAAAAGAAUGUCUGCUGUGAAAUUCAACUUUUAGGCUAUCUGAGUUAAUUGUUGAGAAACUUCUACUGAAGAAUGCUCUAUGCGGGUUUGUAAUCUUCAAAAGCAUCACAUUUAUGAACGUCUGGGAAAAACAGAUUUCCAAUGGAAACUUGGUGCCAGACAACCUCCUUCAGAGAUGGAUUGGACUUCUGAGGAAUUCAACUUUGUGCACGAAGAUGCUAUUGGGGUUCUCAGCCACUCCAAAAAUGCUAUUGUUAUAGUACCCAGCCAGUUGUUUCCCAAGAUGGCCAGAAGAUAACACUGGAUCCUCUGGAACUUGGUCAGAGAGUUAUGAGCCACUGUGCUGAUGGCGGGAACUGAACCUGGGCCCUCUGCAAAAGCAGCAAGCAAUCUUAACCACAGAGCCACCUCUUCAGAGCCCUGCCCCACUUCUUCUGGCACACUUCACCAGAGUCCCAUCCAGAUGCCGGGAAAGGAAGCACCAGCAAGCAUGCUAAUGAAAAAGUGUUGAUCACGAAACAGGAAGGAGUUUCUGCCAGUGGUGACGUACUAUGACACAUUAUUUAAUGCUACUAUGACAGCAGACAGCUGGAAGUGACAUUUCCGGGAAGUGACAUUUCAUGAGAAACUGAGUUCACCCACAAGGAACUGCUUGCUGGUCUUCAUAGUGAAGCCACACCCCCACGGGCACUAUAGCUCAUGAGAAAUACCCCAUCCCCAUCAGCUUGUGGGACUUUCAGAUUGGCUGGUAACAAAAACUGACUUAGGCCGAGACAGACGUGGAGCGGUUGGCGUUCACGGUAGCUUGAACUGGCCCUUUCCCUAACGGCAGUUAAGCACGCUGUCUUUCCCCGCUCUACCUUCCACCUACCUCUAACACAUCUGUGUCACAUCUGUGACAUCUGUUCAAACCGUUUGCCCAUUUAUAGGCGAAUUUUCUUCUCCUACCAAGUUUCUAGAAUGUUCUUAAUAUGAUGGAUUCAAGUUGUGUUUUGAAAAUACUUUCUCCGGUUGGUGACAUAUCUGUUCAUAUUAUUUGUGUGUAUGUGUGUGCAUGUAUGUUUGUGUAUGUGCAC